rnacentral:misc_RNA from 1 species
GUAGGUGAACCUGCGGAAGGAUCAAUGCGAAUGGAGAGCGUGCGCAGUGUGGUGUGGUGUGGGAGAGGGUGGCGUGGGGUGUGGGCGUGUGCAGAGGUGUACACGCGCACGGCCUGCGCUGCGCUGGACUGGACUGGACUGCACUGCGGGACACGCACAUAGGCACACGGAGAGGAGGGGGGGCGAGGGGAUGGGAGGGGACUAUUUCUUUCUUUUGCUCGGACCGCCUUCUCUCUGGAUGUUUACGCUUGCAAGUUUGACAGUAAAAUGAGUGAUGAAUAUAAAUAGACAACUUUUAACAAUGGAUCUCUUGGCUCUU